GACGAACGCUGGCGGCGUGCUUAACACAUGCAAGUCGAACGGACAGGCCCUGCUUUUGUUGGGUGCUCGUGUGGCGAACGCGUGAGUGAAACGUGAGUAUCACGCACUUGUAUUUGGGAUAAAUUCUGGAAAAUCGGGCUAUUACCGGAUAGAAGCUCCUGCUGCACGGUGGGGGAUGGUCAGUUUCGGCGGUAGGGGCUCGAAUAGAGGCUUCUCAGCUUGUUGGUGAGGUAGUGGCUUACCAAGCCUUUGACGGGUAGCCGGCCUUAGAGGGUGACCGGGCACAAUGGUACUGAGAUACGGCCCAGACGGCUACGUGAGGCAGCAGGGGGGAAUAUUGCACAAUGGGCGGAAGCCAGAUGCAGCAACGCCGCGUGCGGGAUAACGUCCUUCGGGUGGUAAACAGCUGUCUCCGUUGACGAAGCGUGAGUGACGGUAAUGGGUAAAGAAGCACCGGCUAACUACGUG
rnacentral:rRNA from 1 species